CCUUCUCAAACCCUCGGGUUUGGUAGUGAGUGGUACUCUUUCUGGGUUAACUUGAAAAUGCUGGCCAUCUGGCUGUUGCUGACUGAGGUUUUAGUCCAGUCCGCUGAUACUCUGCGUAUUAGGUUUUACCAACUCGUAGUGGCGUUAGUAGGCGUUUUAAAGGCUUUUACUGAAAGUACAGACAGUCUGGCAAACAGUAUUCAUAAA
rnacentral:misc_RNA from 1 species